rnacentral:misc_RNA from 1 species
GAUGAAGAACGUAGCGAAAUGCGAUAAGUAAUGUGAAUUGCAGAAUUCAGUGAAUCAUCGAGUCUUUGAAAGCACAUUGCGCCCCCUGGUAUUCCGGGGGGCAUGCCUGUCCGAGCGUCAUUGCUGCCCUCAAGCACGGCUUGUGUGUUGGGCCCCCGUCCCCGGUUUCCCCCGGGGACGGGCCCGAAAGGCAGCGGCGGCACCGCGUCCGGUCCUCGAGCGUAUGGGGCUUUGUCACCCGCUCUGUAGGCCCGGCCGGCGCCAGCCGACACCCAACUUUAUUUCUAAGGUUGACCUCGGAUCAGGUAGGGAUACCCGCUGAACUUAAGCAUAUCAAUAAGCGGAGGA